rnacentral:tRNA from 1 species
GGGGUUGUAGCUCAGUGGUAGAGUGCUCACCUUGCAGGUGGAAGGCAAAGGGUUCAAUCCUUAGCACCA